rnacentral:lncRNA from 1 species
UCCAAAGUCCUUGCCACCAGAUUACCAUCUUUUCGCCCAAUCUACCAAUCCCCCCCUUUCCAAAAGCCCUUAUGGGAAAGAACUUCUUCUCGUGACCCCCUAUUCCAUACAGUUCCAAUCGCUCCCAGCGCCCCCCAUCUUGGAACGGCUUCCCUUCUCCAGUCCAGGAUCCAGGUCCCCAAACCACUUGAGAGAAAAUUCACAGCCCUGGCCCCCUUCCCUGGCGUCCCGGGGAGGCGCUGGGGUCGGGGUGUGGGUGGGGAGGGGGCGGGGGUCCCCGGGGUCCCCCUCGCGCCCCCCCGGAGGUGUGCAGGGGGAGGGGAGCGCGGGUGGGUGGGACCGGGCGGGUGGGGGAGGGGUGAGGGCGAGGAGGAGGAGGAGGAGGAGUGUGUGUGCGAGCGUGUGUGGCUGGGGGAAGCCAUUGCCUGUUUAAUAGUUGCUGUUGCUGCACUUCCGCUUCUCUCCCAGCGAGAGAGAGACACGAGUGGCCAGGCCCAGCCGCAGCCGCAGCAGCAGCCGCCGCGGCGGCACGGAGGAGCCAGACACAAAGAGAGGUACGGGGAUCCCCCCGCCGCCCGCCGCCCCCCGGCCGCGUCGCCGGGCCUCGGGGACACCCCUCGUCGCCUCCCCCGAUCCGCGCCGCCCGGGCCGCCGGGCACGGGGCUGCGGGGGGGCGGAGACGGGCCAGGGAGCCCCAGGGGUCCGGGGCCCGCCCGCGGGGGGUGGGCAGGGACCCCGGGCCGCGUGGGGUGCGGGGACCGCCCGUGUCGUGGCCGGGGGGGCCAUUGUGGCUCGAACUGUCAGCGCUGCCCCGGGAGCCCCCCACUGGCCGCCCAGGGGGCCGGGAGCGGGGGAGGGGGAGCCAGGGGAGCCCCGUGUCCCCCCGGGCGGGGGCCCGCGGGGAUUAACCCCUCCGGGGCGGACGGGCUCAUUGUUAUUCCUUCGCGGAGGAGGCCGAGGCCCCCCCCCUCGCACCCCCACUCCCAAUCGGGGUGGCAAUCGGGCGUGUGCCCGGGACCCCCGCCCCGGCCGCGCAGCCCCAGCCGGGCGGCCGAGGGGCAGGCCGGCCGGGAGGGGCGUCGGGGCGCGGCGCUGGGGGGCCUCGGCCUCGUCGCCCCUGCCCCCCCUCCGGCCUCUCCCUUCCCCCACCCGGGCACCCGCUCCUCGCCUCCGUCCCCCCGUUUCGGCUUCCUCUCCUACUCCUCUCUGCCCUCCUCGCUUCCCGACCUCGCCAAACUCCGCGCCUGA